UGUGAAAUGGGAAGUAACAACUAUCUGCUCUAGCUCAUCAAAUUUCAUUUGCAGCCAAGGGGAGACCUCUCAGGAAAAGAAUCCAAGAAUAUCUUCAUUGACUAUCCAGUCAAAAUAAAAACCACACUGUGGCAACAAUAACAGUCCUUAGAGAAUAGUCCGACUCUCCACACCCUGUAUGCCAGAGGCCACCAAAGACCUUGCCAAGGAUUGGAAGAGACUGGAAUUCCCAGGAAGAGAUGGAUUGAAGAACAACUGGAGGUAGACUCUGGAAGGGGGACCCCUAGGGCCACUACAGAUGCCCUAACCUCCUUCAGGCCCAAGGUUGUCCAACAAGAGAAUGGGCUGCUUGCUUCUUGAGUAAAUUACGACAUUCUCAUUAUGACCUCAUUAUACAGUAUCUAUAGAAGCUAUCCAUGCUUUAAGAAGUGAUUGAACUAGAUGAUAUUUGAGGGCCACAA